CUUUUAAAUUACCUUUUUUUAUCUAAUAUGUAACCUAAUUGUUUAAUUCCUUUUACUAAUAUUUUGCUUAAUCUUAUUACUGCAAUUGACCUACUGGUGGGACUGCGACGAUGAGUCCAUGUUCCGGAUCUUCCACAUGUGGACCGGAUAGUAUAUCAGGAAAACUUUCUCAAUCGCCCGAUCCAGUCUGGUUAGGCACCUAUGGCUGGCCAACAAGGUCUGGCUCUAGAUCCAGGGGUACUGGACCAGCAAGGGCUUCUAGCAAGAGUCCUCAAAGAAUAAGGCGAAUCGGACAGCGAACCCCACAUCGUCCUUGACUGUUUUUCGGAAGGGUCUUCCUCAAUCGACAUACGCAAGAGGAAGUUGGAGACAGAACAUGAUCUGCCGCCCAAGUAGAUGAAUUAUUUGAGAGCUGUAUAAAAACAAAGAGGACGGCGGCUGGAGUAGGUCGAGGGCGACAAAGGUGGAGACGUUGUAGAAGAUGCUGGAGGAUCGUCAGCCCCAACCUACGACUGACGACCUCAGUGCCCCCGCCGAGUCUGAGGCUUCAGUCGUAAUGAUGGAGUAGCAGAUGCUGUUGGCUAUAGUCGGGGAGAAGAACAAAGGGUCGAGGGUUCGGCCUUGAUUAUGAGGCCCACGUCUCUAGCCUCACAUUCACAUCGCCAUUGCCACCUUCAAACCUAGCGAUGGAAGACCACAUCGACCGUCUCGAGAUGAUGAUGGUCGACAUGAUGGACAUGAUGCUGGAGAUGCAGGUUUCCUCGUCAACUGUAGCACCGCCUCCGACAAAUCCCCCAGCUGACAAUCAAAAGGAGGAUGA